UACAGAGGUCUCAAGCGUUGUUCGGAUUCAUUGGGCGUAAAGGGUGCGUAGGUGGCGCCGUUAGUCAGGUGUGAAAUCUCGGGGCUUAACUCCGAAACUGCAUUUGAUACUGCGGUGCUUGAGGACUGGAGAGGAGACUGGAAUUCAUGGUGUAGCAGUGAAAUGCGUAGAGAUCAUGAGGAAGACCAGUGGCGAAGGCGGGUCUCUGGACAGUUCCUGACACUGAGGCACGAAGGCCAGGGGAGCAAACGGG
rnacentral:rRNA from 1 species